UUUAUGGAGAGUUUGAUCCUGGCUCAGGAUGAACGCUGGCGGCGUGCCUAAUACAUGCAAGUCGAGCGAACAGAUAAGGAGCUUGCUCCUUUGACGUUAGCGGCGGACGGGUGAGUAACACGUGGGUAACCUACCUAUAAGACUGGAAUAACUCCGGGAAACCGGGGCUAAUGCCGGAUAACAUGUUGAACCGCAUGGUUCUACAGUGAAAGACGGUCUUGCUGUCACUUAUAGAUGG
rnacentral:rRNA from 1 species